rnacentral:rRNA from 1 species
UACAGGGGGUGCAAACGUUGCUCGGAAUCAUUGGGCGUAAAGCGCACGUAGGCGGUCUGUUAUGUCGGAUGUGAAAGCCCUCGGCUUAACUGAGGAAGUGCAUCCGAAACUGCAUGGCUUGAGUCUCGGAGAGGAAGGUGGAAUGCUUGGUGUAGAGGUGAAAUUCGUAGAUAUCAAGCAGAACACCUGCGGCGAAGGCGGCCUUCUGGACGAUGACUGACGCUGAGACGCGAAAGCGUGGGGAGCAAACAGG